rnacentral:rRNA from 1 species
UACGUAGGGGGCAAGCGUUGUCCGGAAUCAUUGGGCGUAAAGCGCGUGUAGGCGGCUUGGUAAGUCCGUUCUGAAAGUCCGGGGCUCAACCCCGGGAGGCGGAUGGAUACUGCUGAGCUCGAGUCCGGAAGAGGCAAGUGGAAUUCCCGGUGUAGCGGUGAAAUGCGCAGAUAUCGGGAGGAACACCAAUGGCGAAGGCAGCUCGCUGGGACGUUACUGACGCUGAGACGCGAAAGCGUGGGGAGCAAACAGG